CUCCUUUUGCUGUUCUUCCUGUUUGCAGAUCUCCUCCUCCAGUUUCUGGUGGGCCACAUAGAGGUUCGAACAACUACAUCUCCAAAUGAGAGAAGUGAUUUCAAGUUGUCUGGAGAUGGACCCCUUUAAGAGAGGAAGCCUGAAUCAAAGAAGAGCAUAUAUGAAUGUUGGCUGUCCUAACAAAUUUAUCCUAGUCACCAGGGAUUGAAGAAAGAGUUUUUGCAAAAAUUUUUUUUGUUAUUAAUAAAAAUCAAGAGUCAAUUCUAUCUUUCCACUUCCCUUCAUUGUUAAGGUUUCUCAAAAGGUGAUUCUACAACUGUCCCAUUAUCUCUUGUUAGCUCUUCUACCUCUAACAAUUUCAUUAGUGUCCUUGCCACUCUUCUCCUAAGCUAUUGUUGUCCCUCUAGUUACAAAUUAAAUAAAUACAACCUGACUCUUCAGUAUACUUGCCAUAAAUUCUACUGAAGACACACUUCCUCUUGAAAUUAUCUUCUUCUCCUUGGUAUCUCUGACAAUAUCUUCUCUUGGAUUCCCUCUAAUAGUCCCAAUUGUUCCUUUAGCAAGGAUAUUUUAGUGCUUUCUGUGUUAAGUGAUGAAACACCUAAGGUUUCUUGUGCAUUCAUUUCUUUGCAUUUUCUACAUAUUCAUUGAGAGUGCCCAUAUUUGUUAUUUACAUAUUCAAAAUUUGAUCUAAGGUUCAGGCCUUAAUUUUCAACCACCCUCGAAGGAUCUCCAUGGGCACCAAGAUAGCUCACAAGAACCACACACGUCUUUAAUUAUCUUCUCUUUGUCUCUGUCCCUAUUUUUCCUUUCUUUCCCUCUUCCUAUGUCUCUUUCUCUACCUUCUUCUUUUCUUGAACCUUUUGAUAUAUCUGAAAAAGGCCUUUAUUUUUAUUUGAAUUUUUUGUUUCAUUUUUAAGAUACUUUUCUUAGGCAAAGGAUUCUAGAUUGAGAGUUAUUUUCUUUUCAAAUUUACUUUCUAAUUAACAAAUAAAAAG
rnacentral:lncRNA from 1 species